CAGGUGGGGUGCUUCUGCACCCUGAGCCAGGGUGGGUGCCUUCACUGGGGCUGACUGCAGGGGAGCUGGGUGCCUGCUUCUUUUGGGACACGGAGGGCAGGAGACAAGGAGAGAAGCAAGAGUGUGCUUGUUCUUAAGAGCAAAGCUGAGUGCUGGAGGAGUCUGAGUGGUGACCCUGAACCCCUAAGCCUUAUCCAGGGCUUUCUCAGCAUUGUAGGCCUGGUUUAUUAAGUGACAAUCUCCCGAGGGAAGUGGUGAAAGCCUGACUCUACAGCCUGCUACAUCUCCUUGUCGAUCUGCUUUGCAGAGGGAAAUGCUCACAAUCAGGAAAUAUUUUCUGACGUUCAGCCUACUUCCCCCCACCAUUACAUUUUUUUUUUUUUUUUAAAUUUUGUGUUAUUGAUUCCGUUUGUUUUUCUAUAUCAUCCAAAAUAAUGUCCUUUUAGGAGCACUACAGAUUAGCUUAUAACACCGAGAAGCUGUAUUCUAAGGAAAGUAAAUACAUAGUUUUAGCUACCUGAACAAUCGCUAGCACUUACACGGUUAUUAAAUAACCACCUUAACUGCAGGUAGAAGUUUAGAGCUGACUGUACACAUUUUCCCUGUCUCUAAAGUAAACUGAGACAUUCUGAAUGAAAUGGUUCCAAGAAUGCUUUUUUUUUUUUUUUUUUUUUAAAUUGUUUUGUAAUCUAGAUUAUUUUUCAUCCUUCAAAUCAUCAGUAGAUGGCUGUCUGCUAAGCAUGUCCUUUU